UUUCUGUUUAGUAAGGCUCAAGAGGCGUUGGAACGAAAAGCGCGGAAUGAAUGGCACAAAAAAUGGGGGUUUUAUUUAAAUUUUAACAAGAUAAUGAUUGAAGAAGCUCUACAAAGAGGAUUCACCGAAGAACAGUUCAGAAAGAUAUGGAUAAAGAAAAAGGACAAAGGCAAUACAGAACCGGAUAUUUGGAAAAUAAAACCUUCUACUCAUGUUCCAGUUACCAGUUGUGGAUAUGUGGGAUGGCGAUGUGACAAAGAUUAUUCUUUAGAAAAG